rnacentral:rRNA from 1 species
UACGGGGGGGGUAAGCGUUGUUCGGAAUUACUGGGCGUAAAGGGCUCGUAGGCGGCCAACUAAGUCAGACGUGAAAUCCCUCAGCUUAACUGGGGAACUGCGUCUGAUACUGGAUGGCUUGGAUUUGGGAGAGGGAUGCGGAAUUCCUGGUGUAGCGGUGAAAUGCGCAGAUAUCAGGAGGAACACCAGUGGCGAAGGCGGUGCUCUGGGCCGGAACUGACGCUGAGGAGCGAAAGCGUGGGGAGCAAACAGG